CUACCUUUCAUGUUACCAUGCCUGUUUUGGAAGUAGCUGACUGUUUUCACUGGGCUCCCACUGACCUAAACCAGACCCUGACACUGUCUUCUUGUUUCCAGUCAAAUGGAAGUGGUGUGCAUGUGGGCAUGUGUGUGCGUGUGUGUGUGUCGGAGAGAGACUGGGAGAAGAGCGAGACUGGGAUGGAAAGACUCUUUCCCUGAGUGAGAGAGAUUUUGAAUCAUUUUUGGGAGAUUUGUGUGUUAUUUUUCCAUUGCUUGUUUUUAUUUUUAAAAAUCUUCUCUGGUGCUAUGGAUGGCCGUGUCAUUUUUGUUACUGUUGAGCUAUAAGAAAAACACUGGCAGUUACGACAGACUGUUAAGCCAGAAGAAUUUCCUGAAGAAAAUAUCCUCAUCUGUUAUGAGUGUGGAGAUAAAUAAGGUCCAGUUCCGACGUCUGGGAUUUCGACUCUUCAGGCAAGAGGAGAGGAGAAAGAUGUUUGGCUUCUACGAAGUAAUUCACCGUCCAGAGCAUCUCGGCAUCUGGCUACUGCUGAGGAAAGAGGAGAAUGUUUUCAGAACAAGAAAAAUCUCACCUGGGGAUCAUACUGUAGGAACUUCAUCCAGGAACCUUAUCUUUUUGUAUGGUUAUGUGCUUUCAUUUCUCUUAGGUAAAUACCUACGAGUAGAAUGGCUGGAUCAUAUUGUGUGUGUGUGUGUGUAACUUUUUAAGAAACUGCCACCUGUUUUCCAUUGAAUUUGCUUUGGAUAAUGAGAUCCUAGACCUCAAGCCUGAGUCCAAAAACCACCAUGGAAAGAGACUUUGGUUUUCUUUUAGGAAGAAGUAUAUUUUGCAUGUGGGAGGAAUGAAAAUUCCUGUGGCUAGAGGACUGUGUCAAACUGUGGUUUCCAAAACAAAAAGUCUUUAGUAAUAUUUACAUUCCAUGUGCUCUUCCAGAACUUGCCACUCCCCAGCAAGAGACAGAGUGUAUGUCUUCUCCUCUUGAAACUGGGUGCGCUUUUGUGACUAUCUCAA
rnacentral:lncRNA from 1 species